AAUAAAAUUGCGUCGAGCUAAUCAUGACUUAAAUAUUACUCAUCAUCCCUAAGUACACUUAUCAACAUUUCAACAAAAGCACUUCUGAAAUUAAGUAUUACAGCACAAGUAAAUGAAGAAAGCAAAUAUAACUGACUAUAGACUACUUUAUAUAUUAUUCCAUACUUCAAUCUCCAACUUUAUUGCAUUUAGAUGAUGACCAAGUGUCGUUAGGAAUACCUGGAAGUGAAAAUAAAACCAAAUCAAGUAUUAGCCUUGAAAGUUGAGGGUCAGUGAUAGAUUAACAUAUUCAAAAACAGAAACAGGCGAGGUCAUCCCAGAAAUCUCAAUGAAACAGUAAAUUUUGCUCUAUUUGAAGUGGAAACUUUUGAAAGUCAUCGAUUACAACCCUUCUACUUCGAAUGAACAACUUCAAAUUUCAGAAAAUCCUACAGAAAAAUGUGUAGAAAUAUUUCACUAGCUAAUGCCCCCUUUCAAGACUCUGUUUCGCUUGGUUCCUCGUUUUUUUUUCUUACCUUCACAAGGCCAUCAUACAGUGCCUUUAUAGGUAAGAAUUAGGACAGGCUUCAGAAAUUCAUUUUUGCCCUUUAGUCCCUUAUUUUUUGACUUUUAACCAAGUCAUAUAAUGAAGCUUUAGUAACAUAUCCCUACUACAAGCUUCCUGAUUCUGUUAUGAAAGGUUCUUUGAUCCUAGACUACCCAAAAUGCCCCCUUAGCCUGUCAAUGUCUAAACAAACACAUGCAAGUUGACCCAAUACGGACGAGUCUAAAUGGACUAAUGUAAACCUUUUGUUGGGGCCUUCUGAUUUUUGAGCCCCAAACGAAUUCAAUGGGAUAGGUAGGCUUGGCUAAAAGAGAGAUCCCAACCCCCUUUUCUAAAAUAACCCAGAAGGUUAACCAUGGCUAACUUCUCAGUAGAUUAAUUAACCCAUUCUAUUCUAACUCAAACAAAAUAAAAAAGAAUAAACCAAACUGAAGACUACUGGUACGCAAAACUAACUACUGAAUGACAAAAACAAAACAAAAAAAAUCAGGAUGACCAAAGAAAAGGAAAUUAAGUCAGGAACAAAUGGAGAAAUCAGAGAAGCCUAAUGAAAGAAAGGAGAACACAAGAAAGAAGGAGAGACUUAUCAGAUACUGAAUUUGAAACCCACUCGAGACCCAACUUUGCCUCACUUGCACACAAUCGACUAUCCCUGUACUUAGCCUUUGCUUGCAUGUGAACCGGGUGAAAGCUUGAUUUGAGCGAAGAUCAAAAGAGGCAAGAUGAAGUGAGUUGCAGUGCUACAUGUGACCCACGAUUUGGGAGAGAAGGAAGAGACAAAGGUGGAUUUUGAAUGGAAGUGUAACAGUGGUCACAUGGUCCAGUUUUGAGGUUUAUUCGAAGGCAGCGCCGCCGUACGCGGUGGCACGGUUAUUUAAGGUUUGAAUUAUUUGAGAAAUCCGGGUGGGAUUUCAUGGAAACAUGGCUCGGAUUUUGAAAGAGGAGGGUGAGAUGAUCGAGUUGUGUACGGCAUGGAGAGUUUGGAUGCCGGUCACCGCCGUGGGCAAUUUCCGGCGGUGGCAAUGGUGGUGCAGAUGGGUGUGAUAAAGAAGACAAGUCGUUUGAGAU
rnacentral:lncRNA from 1 species